rnacentral:lncRNA from 1 species
CCUAUUGCAAAAUAAGUUUUACCUAGAAGCACAGUAUUUAAAACAGAAAGCUAAAAUACUCUGGUUAAGUGGGAAGCUCCCUGUCUUCCUCGCUGCUAGUAUUAUUUCUGAAAAACCUCAAAGGAACUCCUUGCUCUCUGAAUAGCAGGUUUUAAAAACCACUACUUGCACAUUUGCACCUUGACAUCAAACAUGUGAACAAAGUAAUAGAGUGAGAAAACUGAAUUUCUAUUUAGGAAUUUCUAUUUUAUUCUCUCUAUAAAAAGCCAAGAAGUGGUUGGUGUUUGGAAUAACAUGAAAAAUAUUCCAAGUAUCUUUGGAAAUACUUACACUAGAACUAUAAGGUUUAUGAUAAUUCUAUCUUAGAUUCAUUAUCUAGAGCUGGUCUAAAAAAGGAUGAUAUGUAAGAACUACCAAGAGAGACUUGGAGUAGAUACAAGAAUGAAGGAAUGAAUCAAUAUCCAAUAAAUAUCCAUAGGCCCAGGCUUUGCUAUGCCCUCUUAUUACACAGGAUAAAACAGUGUAGUUGUUAGUUUCUACCUUUGAAGAUUAUGAUCCUUAAAAAGGAAACAGCUCUGUGAACAGAGACCAUGUUAUUCAUAGGUGUUCCUCACUUGUUUCCACCACAUAAUAGGUAUUUAAUGAAUGAAAAAAUUCACGUCUCUCUUUGAUCCUAGACUGCAAGUUACUUAAAAGAAAUGGACCGUAUUUUACUUAUCUCUCAUGGCCUGCAAAUUGAGUUUGCUUACUGAAUUAAUGAAUGAAUGACCAAUUGUACACAUAUGUCUGUAAAACGUUUACAUAUCCACAUUCCCAUUAGACUGAGAUUCUUGAGGGCAGAAACCAUGUCUUCAGCUCUCAGCAUGGUGCCUGACUCAUGGUAGGUUGUCAAAAGCAUUUGCAGAACUGAAUAAAACUUACGUUUAAGUAGUACUGGAGCAGUCUCACAUAACCGGGCACAGUGUCUUCUAAAUAGACACUAAAAUUAUUUCAUAAUUAAAGACAGAUCUCACUAAGCAUUUUCUGAGUUAGUGCCAGUUGAAUAAUAUGACAAUAAGCUAUAGGAGUUCAGAGGAGAGUGAGUUCUGUGGACUGAAAUAGUCAAAGUGGAUUUUCAGAGCAGAUGAGACGCGAUGAAGGCUGGGGCUACUUUGGUGUUUUAAGAACAUUAAUUAGGCAGCAGGAAAAUCUGAGGACAGGGAGACUAGUAAGGAAGGCUGGAAAGAGCCCUGGGUUUGGAGUUCAGAGAUCUGUGUUCAGAGUCCUUUGCUUCUUAGUGACUAUGUGACCUUGAGAAGAUAACUUGAGCUCCCUUUUUCCUCUUCUGUGAGGUAGAGGUAAGAUUGAUGUGCAUAUUGAUAUUGUACUUAAAAGUGUUUGUAAAAUGCUAAGUAAAACCUAAUGCUAUGCUUUGAAUGUAGUGGGUUCCAAAUAUUUGUUUAAUGACAAAGAAUAAAUGAUAUUGACUAAUGAAAAUAAUGGAGCCACUGGAAUGUCACCUCCUGCAUCUGCCAGUAAACCUGUUAACACAGGGGUGGCGGGGGGGGGGGGGAAGUAAAUAUGUGAAGCCACCAAAUCUCAUGAUCAGGAGAAAAACUUUGGAACUCCCAUGAGACUCCAAAGUUAUGUCACAGGUGAAUAAGUCAUGAACUUUUCAUGCUGAUAUCAUUUCUAAGGUUGCUGCCUUGUCAGAAGAAGCAAACCACAAGAUAAACCAUGCAGAAAAUCUUUUUUUAAAAAAGUUUCCUGAAGGAUGGAUGGUUCAUUUGUUCUGCUUGUCACUUUACUUACUAAUGAGUCAUUUUUUUCCUUAACCAGUAAUUUGUUUUAAAUUUGGUCAUAAGAUGGUAUGUUGACUAGUCCAAUGUUACAAAAUAAUUGGAAAAAAGAUGACAGACCACCAACUGAAUAAGGGAAAUCUGGUUCUUGAACUUCCAAUGUAUGAAUUGGUGAUGGUAAGCUUAGUCUUUAUGAUGUAAGAUUGGAUUUAUUGGAACUUCUUUAUGUCCAGAAGUUGCAGCACCUUUCUUUGUCUCUGGAAUGCCCAAGAUCUCUACUGCAUCCUGUAGACAUGGAGGGUUUCCCCCCUUAUUCUGGGUCUGAUUAUUUUUAAAGAAACACCCUUUCCUUACCCAUCAUGGAGACACUACUAACCUUGUAUAUACUUUUAUUAGAGUGCUGAUAACACCAUAUUACAGUAGCAUACUUACAUAUCUGUUUUCUUAACUGUGAGCUCCUUGAGAGCAGGGACUGUGUGUUUUUGCUUUUAUUUCACCAGUACUCAGAACUAUCCACAGUAUAGAAAAGCACUCAAUAAAUGGAAUAAAUGAAAAUGAAUAGAUAAAUAAAUGAUUUCACUUGUAUAAG